GGUUAAUUCUUACCUUUUUUUCUUCUUUUAAAUACUUUUAGAAACCCUAAUGGCUCUCCUAACCGACUGCUUAAAGCUGGAGUCAUUUCUACCCAAAAUAUCUACAGCUUUGGCUUUGGGAAGUUUUAUCUCACAGGGGGUACACAGCUGGCUUAUCUAGGAUGUCUUCCAGUAAUUGGAGAGAAGGAAGUGAUUCAAGCUGAUGAUGAACCUACCUUCUCUUUCUUCAGUGGCCCUUACACGGUCAUGACCAACCUGGUGUGGAAUGGGAACAGGGUCACAGUGAAGGGGCUGAACCUCCCCACCCACUCGCACUGCAGCAGGCUGCGGCUCGCCG